CAGCAGCCGCGGUAAUACGUAGGUGGCGAGCGUUAUCCGGAUUUACUGGGCGUAAAGAGCGCGCAGGCGGUCGUGCAAGUCGGAUGUGAAAGCCCCCGGCUCAACUGGGGAAAGUCAUUCGAUACUGCUCGACUUGAAGGCGGGAGAGGGAAGCGGAAUUCCCGGUGUAGUGGUGAAAUGCGUAGAUAUUGGGAGGAACACCCGUGGCGAAGGCGGCUCUCUGGACCACAACUGACGCUGAGGCGCGAAAGCUAGGGUAGCAAACGGGAUUAGAUACCCCGGUAGUCCUAGCCGUAAACGAUGGGCACUAGGUGUUGGAGGUAUCGACCCCUCCAGUGCCGCAGCUAACGCAUUAAGUGCCCCGCCUGGGGAGUACGGUCGCAAGACUAAAACUCAAAGGAAUUGACGG
rnacentral:rRNA from 1 species